AGCGAACGCUGGCGGCAGGCUUAACACAUGCAAGUCGAGCGGGCAUCCUUGUGGUGUCAGCGGCAGACGGGUGAGUAACGCGUGGGAACGAGCCCUUCGGAUCGGAAUAACUCAGGGAAACUUGAGCUAAUACCGGAUACGUGCGAGAGCAGAAAGGUUUACCUGCCGAAGGAUCGGCCCGCGUCUGAUUAGCUAGUUGGUGAGGUUAUGGCUCACCAAGGCGACGAUCAGUAGCUGGUCUGAGAGGCUGAUCAGCCACUCUGGGACUGAGACACGGCCCAGACUCCUACGGGAGGCAGCAGUGGGUGAUAUUGCACCGUGGGGUCAACCCUGAUCCAGCCAUGCCGCGUGAGUGAUGACGGCCUUAGGGUUGUAAAGCUCUUUUCCUCGGGACGAUAAUGACGGUACCGGAGGAAUAAGCCCCGGCUAACUUCGUG
rnacentral:rRNA from 1 species